rnacentral:rRNA from 1 species
UGCCAGCCGCCGCGGUAAUACAGAGGUCUCAAGCGUUGUUCGGAAUUACUGGGCGUAAAGCGUGCGUAGGCGGCGAGGUAAGUCAGAUGUGAAAUCCCGGGGCUCAACCCCGGAACUGCAUCCGAUACUGCCUCGCUAGAGGACUGGAGGGGAGUCUGGAAUUCACGGUGUAGCAGUGAAAUGCGUAGAUAUCGUGAGGAACACUAGUGGCGAAGGCGAGACUCUGGACAGAUCCUGACGCUCAGGCACGAAGGCUAGGGUAGCGAACGGGAUUAGAUA